GCAUGUUGAGCAGUGUGAACCUUGAGUUGGGAUUGAUUUGCUGUGACAUGGCCUGGGUGCUAGUUAAAAAAAUCCUGAAAUCAAGGAGCAAAGUAACUGCUGCUCUGGGUGCUAGUUAAAAAUAACUGCAGUUCCAGUAUCAGACACUGCAACAUGGUCUGGUUGCUAGUUAAAACUUUACAUCACAACAAACUGCUGGUCUGGGCGCUAGUUAAAAAUACCUCAAGGUACAGCAUAUUGAAUUAAUAAUUUUAUUAACAAUAUUGUUUUAAAACAUGCUGAACACAGCUUAACACCCAUGCCUGUGUUUUAUAGGACUGUCUGCGGGUGCAGUGUCUGUCACUGUUUUUUCCUUUCCCAACAGUUAGUUUUAAUUCUUCUAACCCAUUUAGUGACCUCUUUGUUUGCGUGCUCAUAGUGUAGCUCUUUCCACAACAACAUUGGGUGUGUGUUUUUACCGUUUGUAGUGGCAUUUUAUUCUCCUUGUUGAGUGUAUUGGUCCUAAAUGUGUGAGUCGAUUCUAUAUGCCCUCUCUGAGAGUUUUCCUAGUUUAAUGAAUACACGUGCCUUG